rnacentral:lncRNA from 1 species
GGGCUUAAGAGCCGGGGGGGGGCCCAGAGGGUCGAAACACAGUGUGCGGGGUUUAGGCGCACACGGCUGUUUAGUCUCGUGCUUCGUGCAUUCCGGCCCAGGGAUCAGACCCCACCGGGGGGUAGCGCUACUGCUGAACGAGCUCUAGGUCCGCUGGUCACCUAUCGAAAUCCCCUAAGUCGCACCCGGGGAGUCCUCCGACAGGCG